GAGUUUGAUCCUGGCUCAGAACGAACGCUGGCGGCGUGCCUAACACAUGCAAGUCGAACGUGAUCCAGAGCUUGCUCUGGUGAAAGUGGCGCACGGGUGAGUAACGCGUGGAUAACCUACCCUGGUAUCCGGGAUAACAUUCCGAAAGGGGUGCUAAUACCGGAUAAGCCCACGGGCUCUUUGGAGCUUGCGGGAAAAGGUGGCCUCUAUUUAUAAGCUACUGUAUCAGGAUGGGUCCGCGUACCAUUAGCUAGUUGGCGGUGUAACGGACCACCAAGGCGACGAUGGUUAGCUGGUCUGAGAGGAUGAUCAGCCACACUGGAACUGAGACACGGUCCAGACUCCUACGGGAGGCAGCAGUGGGGAAUUUUGCGCAAUGGGGGAAACCCUGACGCAGCAACGCCGCGUGAGUGAUGAAGGCCUUUGGGUCGUAAAGCUCUGCCAGAGGGGAAGAAAUGAUAUAGUGCUAAUACCACUUUAUCUUGACGGUACCCUCAAAGGAAGCACCGGCUAACUCCGUGCCAGCAGCCGCGGUAAUAC
rnacentral:rRNA from 1 species